rnacentral:tRNA from 1 species
UAGCCUAACGGUUAAGGCUAUGGAUCGCCAAUCCGGAGACGACGGGUUCAAUUCCCGU